rnacentral:lncRNA from 1 species
CUUACCAUCGGUUCAGUAAGAUUUUCUAAAGGUCGUCGAUCUCGUUUGAUCAGACGGUCGAGAACUGAACCAACAAUCAUUACUUAUAUAUCCAAAAGCUCCCCUACCUCCUCCCAGCCCAUCGUCUCCCAUCUCCCUUCAUAGAUUAACCAAAUCGCCGCCUUAAACCGCCAUCUACACCCGCCAGAAUUCGGCCAUGGCAACGGCCGUCGGCUAAUCACCUCUAAAACUACACCCGUGAUUCCUCUCUACCACCAUAUCCCAAAUCUCCAAACACAUCUUCUCAAAUCCCUCUAAAAUUCCUCGAAUUUUAGAUCGAAAAGCGAAACCUUAAUAGCCACCCUAAAAUCCCACCGCCUUAGGGUAGCGGUGCCACCCCCAACUACCACCAAAUAGCACCAUAUAACCUUCUCAUUACCCUAUUUCCAAAUCCAUAGUCCUUUUCCCUCAAAUAUGCCCAGAACUCUUGGAAUAUUACAUCUAAGUUUGUAGUCGUAAAAUCCAAAAUCGAUUUUCAUUGAGUCGGGUGGAAUGCAUGGUCUGGAGAGGUUGUUUUUUUCAAGCUUUGAAGAUUAGAGUCAAGAAAACUAAUGUUUUUCAGUUGUUCUUAACAAAGAAUAAAUGAUCGACAUUAGUUUGUUGAGUCGUUUGUCUCCGGUAGAUUCUCAAUUUCUAGUUUGGUAUGUUCCUUGCACUCCUUUCAUUCUCUCUUUCUUUUGUUAUUUUAUUCUUAGUCUACUCCCCCUUUUUUCUUAGUUAGUUUUUUUUUCUGUUAAUAUGGUUAAAGCUCGACCAACCAUUUGAGUUUAAGUGGCCUUCUCUUCAUCUCUUUUCUAUCAUUUAUGAAAGUUUUGCUCCUUGAUUUCUCUUAGUGUGGUAGCUUUUCUUAUUAACCUAAUUAAAAUUCUAAUUUCAUUUCUCGUUUAGUCGCUUAGUUUAAUAACUUGGUCAAUUUCUUGUUUAUCCAUGUUUAAUAACCGUUCAAUUAUUGUAAUUUGAUGUUUAGAAUUAUUUAAGUAUUUUUCCUCUGUUUGUUUACCAAUAGGAUUUAGUCUCAUUUUACUUAUUCGGAUUUGAAGCCAUUUCGAACAUCACUCCCAGGGAUUUAUUUGGUUCAUUAGGUCAAAAUUCAGCCCAUAUUGGGUUUUGACUAUUGGAUCAAUUUGACCCAUGACCCAUGUUGGUCUGGUCCCUGAAGUAAAAAUAGGGCUCCUAGGGGUUAAAUUAGGAAAGAAUCACUAAUAACAUCCUAGGAAACUUCCUUGAAACUUAAAAAUAGACUUACCUGGGAAACACGCCAAAAAUUCACGGAUUAAGUGACAAAAUAAAAAAAUAGCCUAGGUUUUCUAAGCAAAACUCAGAAUAUGAAAAGGGUCUAAAUGAAAAUUUAAUUUCUUUGAGGCUGCUCUAAUGGCUUGCUAUAAAGGCAUUGUUACUUGAAGUUCAAGACGGAUUUGGAGGGCAUAAAAUUCAGAAAAAAAAUAAAAACAGCUAAAAUUUUCAUAAAAAUCACUACUCCAUUAAAACCUCUUCUGUGAUCUUGGAGAUUCUUAAUUUCUGAAGCAAAAUUCUGAUUCAUCUAGGUUUACGAUGAGUUCGUAAAAUUUUAUUUUGAAAUUUACAUAUCUACUGCUCGAGUGAAACUGAUUACGAACUGCUGUACAUCAUCAUUCUUGGCCUGAAAUCAGUUUUAUUUUACUGUUGCUGGGGUUCUGUUCUCAUCCUAUUUGGCUAGUUCCCCACUCUUUUGUUUCUAUUUCUCCCUUUCUAGGUACAUAUCCUUGAUCUUAAGCAUGUUAAGAAAUGGUUCGUGCAGUAUUUUGAAGAAAGAUGAGGAUUUAUGUUUUCCUUUAUCAGAUAUUCCUCUUCUUUAUUUUCUUUCUCAACUUGCUGUGCCAAUUUCUUUAUCUUAGCAUGUUUAAAGUGAGGUUGUAAUUCAAACCUUGAGUCUUAUAUUAGAGUUGUAAUGGGGUUGUUGUUAAGUAGUUAUUGAUUUCCAUUUAUUUAAACAUCUAGGUUUGUUAUUAAUAGAAGUGUGAAUUUAUUUUUUUAGAUCCAUGAUAUGUGUGUGAGUCCAGAUUACAUGAGUAUUUUGGUUAAUUGCAAAGUUAAUAUAAUCAGAUUUGAUCAUGCUAGGGGUUUGGAUCUUAAUAAUCGGGUUGCAUGAAGUUUUUUGUUUUGCACUUUUUGUAAGGAAUGUUUAAUCUAUGUGGUUAUUUGUUCUUUAAAUUUACUAGUUGUUUGUUUUCUUUAAAUGAACCAAGGUUUUGGGUUAAAUGUAUGUGGAGGUUAGUAUAAUAUGGGAAUCCUGAGUGACAGAGGUGUUGGGUCUCUGUUAAAGAAAUCUGAUGUUCGAUCUUUUAGUUUCCAGUAAAAGGCCUUUGUUAAAACAAUUUUUUUGGUUUCAAUUCCAAUGUUAUACGUGUAGGUUUAAUUUAAAUAGAUCGUGUAUGGAGUGUUCUGUUAAAUCGAGAGUCUCAAUGAUACAUUCAUGUAUGGGUUCUAUAUUCCAUUGAUGCCCAUUAGUCAAUUAGUAAAAAUCUGAAAUUUAAUCGUUUAUGUAUAGUUUGCCCUAUUUUGGGCUCAAUGUUCGGCCAAAUGGGACAGCCUCCUUUCUCAUUAGCGUGUGAUUGAUCCUCAUUCGAGGAAUGGGUUUACUCUUGAGCCCAAUGUUGGGCACCUUUUGCACAUCCUAUUUAGCUGUUGCUUAACUUAUUUCCAAUUUGGGUAAUCAAUUCGUCAACUGCCUCACCAUAUGAUUAUAACUAGGUCUUAUACUAAAUUUUAGGAUUUGAUUCAUUUCAUUAUUGGAU